UGCGAAAUUUCGCAGUGCGUUG
rnacentral:miRNA from 1 species